UGAAAAGGUAUUCCCAAUGCUGUAGCUGUGACUCUCAAGGAUUGGCCUGAAAAAAUAAUUGUUUUUUUUUUUCUUUUUGUUCACUGUAUAGGUAGAUGUGGAUCUUUUUUUCCCAAAUUAAGAUCCAAAUUUUUACAGCAGAUCUGCAGAGAUAUACAGGACUUCCAAAGCUGGAGUUGCCUUUGUGAAAUACAUGUGUAGUAUAAUAAAUAUGAAAGAACAUUAAUUCUUCACCUGAAUUGUAAUAACUUCUAUUUACAAAUGUUGGGCUAAAACGAAUGGAUACUUUUCCUCAGAUUAGUUCCAAGAUCAGUUUAUUUUUCUUUAUAUGUCCAGGAUACCAUCAAUGCAUCUCUGUGAAAAGAGUUUUUAUCAGUAACUGCAGCAUCUGGCACCACCCUCUUGAUUGAACAAAGAAAUGAAAUGCUGUGGGCGGUCAGAAGGGCUACCAAUGCUGGUGGGAGCAGCGCAACUGGGUGUGAUGGAGCAAAAGGCGUUUGUGACUGAUGUGAGCGAGGUAGGCAGCUCUGCACUAGGAAAGGCAUUGUCACAGAAACGAUCUGCAUAAGUUUCAUCUACAGCCACUACAAAUGGCAAGGCAGCAGCAAGCAGUCCUUGCACAGAUUCAUACCACGAUGGCAAAGGCCCAGUGUGUCAUCUGCACGAACAGCUAGAAGUCACUGUAACGGAGUAAGAACACUCCUAAAGAUCAGCAGGCAACAACUCAGGUGAGUUAACU